rnacentral:rRNA from 1 species
UACGGAGGAUCCAAGCGUUAUCCGGAAUCACUGGGCGUAAAGCGCACGUAGGCGGAUUGCUAAGUCAGGGGUGAAAUCCUGGAGCUCAACUCCAGAACUGCCUUUGAUACUGGCGACCUUGAGUCCGGGAGAGGUGAGUGGAACUGCGAGUGUAGAGGUGAAAUUCGUAGAUAUUCGCAAGAACACCAGUGGCGAAGGCGGCUCACUGGCCCGGUACUGACGCUGAGGUGCGAAAGCGUGGGGAGCAAACAGG